rnacentral:rRNA from 1 species
UGCUGGAGGUAUCAGAAGUGCGAAUGCUGACAUAAGUAACGAUAAAGCGGGUGAAAAGCCCGCUCGCCGGAAGACCAAGGGUUCCUGUCCAACGUUAAUCGGGGCAGGGUGAGUCGACCCCUAAGGCGAGGCCGAAAGGCGUAGUCGAUGGGAAACAGGUUAAUAUUCCUGUACUUGGUGUUACUGCGAAGGGGGGACGGAGAAGGCUAUGUUGGCCGGGCGACGGUUGUCCCGGUUUAAGCGUGUAGGCUGAUUUUCCAGGCAAAUCCGGAAAAUCAAGGCUGAGGCGUGAUGACGAGGCACUACGGUGCUGAAGCAACAAAUGCCCUGCUUCCAGGAAAAGCCUCUAAGCAUCAGGUAACAUCAAAUCGUACCCCAAACCGACACAGGUGGUCAGGUAGAGAAUACCAAGGCGCUUGAGAGAACUCGGGUGAAGGAACUAGGCAAAAUGGUGCCGUAACUUCGGGAGAAGGCACGCUGGUGUGUAGGUGAAGUCCCUGCGGAUGGAGCUGAGACCAGUCGAAGAUACCAGCUGGCUGCAACUGUUUAUUAAAAACACAGCACUGUGCAAACACGAAAGUGGACGUAUACGGUGUGACGCCUGCCCGGUGCCGGAAGGUUAAUUGAUGGGGUUAUCCGUAAGGAGAAGCUCUUGAUCGAAGCCCCGGUAAACGGCGGCCGUAACUAUAACGGUCCUAAGGUAGCGAAAUUCCUUGUCGGGUAAGUUCCGACCUGCACGAAUGGCGUAAUGAUGGCCAGGCUGUCUCCACCCGAGACUCAGUGAAAUUGAACUCGCUGUGAAGAUGCAGUGUACCCGCGGCAAGACGGAAAGACCCCGUGAACCUUUACUAUAGCUUGACACUGAACAUUGAGCCUUGAUGUGUAGGAUAGGUGGGAGGCUUUGAAGUGUGGACGCCAGUCUGCAUGGAGCCGACCUUGAAAUACCACCCUUUAAUGUUUGAUGUUCUAACGUUGGCCCGUUAUCCGGGUUGCGGACAGUGUCUGGUGGGUAGUUUGACUGGGGCGGUCUCCUCCUAAAGAGUAACGGAGGAGCACGAAGGUUGGCUAAUCCUGGUCGGACAUCAGGAGGUUAGUGCAAUGGCAUAAGCCAGCUUGACUGCGAGCGUGACGGCGCGAGCAGGUGCGAAAGCAGGUCAUAGUGAUCCGGUGGUUCUGAAUGGAAGGGCCAUCGCUCAACGGAUAAAAGGUACUCCGGGGAUAACAGGCUGAUACCGCCCAAGAGUUCAUAUCGACGGCGGUGUUUGGCACCUCGAUGUCGGCUCAUCACAUCCUGGGGCUGAAGUAGGUCCCAAGGGUAUGGCUGUUCGCCAUUUAAAGUGGUACGCGAGCUGGGUUUAGAACGUCGUGAGACAGUUCGGUCCCUAUCUGCCGUGGGCGCUGGAGAACUGAGGGGGGCUGCUCCUAGUACGAGAGGACCGGAGUGGACGCAUCACUGGUGUUCGGGUUGUCAUGCCAAUGGCACUGCCCGGUAGCUAAAUGCGGAAGAGAUAAGUGCUGAAAGCAUCUAAGCACGAAACUUGCCCCGAGAUGAGUUCUCCCUGA